rnacentral:sRNA from 1 species
CUGCGUGGCCCUGGCCAAGUGCACUGGGUGCUGUCUGGGCCACCUCUGUCACUUUCCAGACACUUCCUGGAGACCACAAUGAAGCCCUUCUUUCAGUUGGUCUGUGUCACCUGGCACAAAGCCAGGAUGCACAGUAUGUCCAGUGGAAGGAGGGAGCAGCUUAUCUGCCUUCAGCUCCAGCCCCUUCUGUGGCUCCCUAGUACCUCCGCCCAGCUGUGCACUGGCCCGUCAACCUCACUGCAUGCCAGCCUGAGAGCUGAUUCACUCCAGGCCAAUAGGUAGCAAUGACUGCAGUUUCUAUGUCACCAAGCAGAAAGCAAAGGUAUCAGGUUCUAGUGGAUUCUUUUUGUUCACCUCUGAACUUAAGCCAGGUGUAUGUGUUGACAACAUCAGGAAGUAGGCAGUGCAGGUACGGGACGGUGCUGUGUGCACCAAUCAAGAUCUCUAGCUCCAUGGCCCUGAUUUUUCCUGUUACGAUCAUGGCAUAAGAGUGGCCACUCCAUUCUACUUCUUUUUUUUUAAAUUUUUUUUUAAUGCAUACUUGAAAAAAAACAAACAGUCGAACAACACAGACAGAUAGGAAGUUAAGAAAAGCUGCCUCCCUUCCCGGUAGCGCUCUCUCCGCAUGUUUUCUUAGGAGCAAGGCACUGCUGGGUGUGCUCUGGAUGCAUAUGGGCCAUGUAUAUUCUUUGCUGCCUAUGUUCUGGACACGAUGGCCUUGUUGAGCCUCCUGUCCCACAGGCAGGGGGAUGUCCUAUGGGAAGAGCUAGUUAACUUGUCCUUCAGAGCUCUGACCUAGACAUGCUUGUUUGGCUGUCAGUGACCAGGAAUGGGCCAUGCCCAUUUUCUCAGGGUUUUUACAUGUGUUGCAAUGCAGACUUUUUUUUGAGACGGAGUCUGACUCUGCUGCUCAGGUUGGAGUGCAGUGGCACGGUCUCAGCUCACUGCAAACUCUGCCUCCCAGAUUCAAGUGAUUCUCCUGCCUCAGCCUCCUGAGUAGCUGGGAUUACAGGUGUGCACCACCACACCCGGCUAAUUUUUGUAUUUUUAGUAGAGACGGAGUUUCACCAUGUUGCCUAAGCUGGUCUCGAACUCCUGACCUCAGGUGCUCCACCUGCCUCAGCCUCCCAAAGUGCUGGGAUUACGUGCAUGAGCCACCGCGCCCUGCCCCAAUGCAGACUUAUCAGGUUGAUCUCAGAUGCUGUUUUGUCAGCACAAUUAACUUGUUAGUGUGUGGAGAAAGGGCGUCACUUCCAUCAGUUGAGAGCCUGGUGUUUUCUGGUCUGGCUGAGGUCUGGAUGAAAGCAGUCUUGGCACCGAGCAGAGAAAGUGGGAAGCUGGUGCUGCAGCAGGCGCCAGAGUACGCAGAGGCCAUAUGGGGAGCCCGCCCUGCCUGCAGAGGCCUCGUGUUCUCAGCCUGAGGGCUCUGGCUCUGCUCCUCCAGCUGCUGCAGUGGAAGUCAGAGAAGAUGCCCUGGCAGGGUCACUAGAGGAGUGGAGGGAAGGGCACUUCGUACCGUGGCACUUCAUAUUUGGGAGCAAAGAAAGCAUCCACCACAUAAGGCACUUUUCACAAAGUUGCUCUGGUUCUGGAAAGCUGUUUGACCAAGCGAGGUGAACCUAGAUAGCCUCACCCUUUCACCCUCAAGUUGGACUCACAGUGGCAGGCUCUGGAGCCACAUUUCAUGUGACCUUUUUAUGUAAAGUCCUUCAGCAAAUUGAUGAGGAAGACAUGGUAAAAUAUUCCACAUGAAUAGACAUUUCCUUGUGUGGGCAUUUGGGUUCUACAGUUUUACUGUUAUAAAAAGUAUUUGCUGGUUUCUUUAUUUUAAUUUCUAUUAACUAAAGUUAUCAGCUCAAAAGAUAGAAACAACAGAAGUAUAAAUGAAAGCAUCUUUGAUUUUGAGGAACUUUUGAGAGGACCUAUCUGACUCAUUAAAUCUUUUUUGUUCUUUAGUACUCCCAUAGGAUUUUUUAAAAUCCCAUGGUAUAAUUUGUAUACAAUAAAAUGCACACAGUUCAGCCAGUUUGAAAAUGUAUACACCCAUGUAAUCAGAACAUUUCCAUGUCCCCAAAAGGUCCUUUCCUGUCAGUCCCCACCUGAUCCCCUGGCCCAGAAACCUCUCAGCUACCUCCCAUCCUCAUAGAUCUGUCUUUCUCAGGGUUCCAUGUGGAUGGAAUCUCACUGCCCUUUUGUGGUUGGUUAUUUCCCCUUCCCCCAGCUUGGCAUUUGUUACCCCAGCUUGGCAUUUCAUCCAUAUUAUUGCAUAUUAGGAGUUCCAUCCUUCUUUAUUGCCAAGUAGUACUUUAUUGUAUUAAAAGCUUCGUGUUUCAAGUACCAUCAUGGUACAGUCUCUACCUACCAGUAAUCAUCUAACCCCUCAUGGAAACUUGUUUCAGAUUAAGGUAUCCAUCUUGCCAUGUUGCCUUGACAGAAUGUGUCUGCAGAUUAGAAAACGCACUUAGGAACUUUGCCUGUCUGACCACCGGGGAUGUGAUUGCCAUCAACUAUAAUGAAAAGAUCUACGAACUGCGUGUGAUGGAGACCAAACCCGACAAGGCAGUGUCCAUCAUUGAGUGUGACAUGAACGUGGACUUUGAUGCUCCCCUGGGCUACAAAGAACCCGAAAGACAAGUCCAGCAUGAGGAGUCGACAGAAGGUGAAGCCGACCACAGUGGCUAUGCUGGAGAGCUGGGCUUCCGCGCUUUCUCUGGAUCUGGCAAUAGACUGGAUGGAAAGAAGAAAGGGGUAGAGCCCAGCCCCUCCCCAAUCAAGCCUGGAGAUAUUAAAAGAGGAAUUCCCAAUUAUGAAUUUAAACUUGGAAGCUCCUAGGAGGUGUCCCUCACUAAAAUGAAGGAAUAAGGUAGAAAUAAGAAAGUCAUAGAAUCCAGGAAAUAAGGAGCCCCCACUAACAUGUACGGCACCUAGAGAAAGGCCAGUCCAGGAUGAAGCUGGAGGCAGAUUCGUCGCUUUCUCUGGAGAAGGACAAUCGUUGCGUAAAAAGGGAAGAAAGCCCUAAGUGAGGACUGUUGGCUGAUUGGAAAAUAAUAAAAGAAUCAUUUGC